UCAAUUGAAGAGUUUGAUCCUGGCUCAGAUUGAACGCUGGCGGCAUGGCUAAAACAUGCAAGUCGAACGAACCCGCAAGGGUGAGUGGCGAAAGGGCGAGUAAUACGAUCGAAUGUACCCCGAGGUGGGGGAUAGGUCGGGGAAACCCGGCAUAAUACCUCAUGAGCUCGAGAGAGGAAAGGCUUCGGCCGCCUUGGGAGCAGCGAUCGUCCUAUCAGGUAGUUGGCGGGGUAAUGGCC
rnacentral:rRNA from 1 species